UAGUCAAGCGGUAAGGCAACGGAUUUUGGUCCCGCUAUUCGGAGGUUCGAAUCCUUC
rnacentral:tRNA from 1 species